UGUAAAGAAGCAAAAUUCUUUUUCUUUUUAAUUCAUUUGGAACCUUUUUCAUCUCUGUUUUACUGCCAGUGGUUGGAGACUUAUUUGCUGUAACUUCUGGAAACUUUUUGUGCUCAUGUUGUGGUGUCCCCGACUCUGAGAGGGAGAGAUUGGGACUGUGGGCCUCUGAGUCAGUGAGCAAGUUGAACUCCAUCGGCCUGAAAUAGGAACUGGAGAAGAGCUGAAAAAGAGGCCCAAGUGAAGUCUGAGUGUCAUACAUACAAUUAGGAGGGACUGACGCUGCACAGAUCUGAUUCAAAUUCCUCAUUUUCACCUGCUAAAGACCUGAAGCGAGACAGCCGCCCCCUCCAGCAAGAGGUGACAAGUUUAGCCGACUUGCAGAAAGGUAAGUGGCAUAAAAAAAGAGAUCUGUAGGCACCCCAGAAACAGGUUUUAUUCUGCCUGAAGCAAAAGGUAUUUUCUGAACAAUUUUGCUUCUGUACGAGAAGCUACACAUCACACCUAUUUUUGCAGCCCUGGCCCUGUAUGUUUCCAUUGACUGAACUGGGACACGAACUCAAGAGAGUAUGUUUCAGAACACAGCCUCAAAUAUUUGUCACUGAGUGAGCAGUAACAGGCAGGGAAUUUCUCGUUGUUCUAUGCCCUGGCCCCCAAAUCAGCUUUUCUG